rnacentral:lncRNA from 1 species
GGGACAAUGGGUUGUCAGAAGACUUGCAAAGUGGAGAAACUUCUGAAACAGUCUCAGUGGGAAGUAGCAUGGAGCCAGAGACAAAGGUUAGCCACAGCAAAGAAGAACAGUCGGAUGAGAGGAACAGAUAAGCUGAGAAAUGAAGUUUUGCCCCUCCAGCUCCCAGGUGUGCAGCGUUUGGACAGCUUUCGUCUUCUAGAGGACAACGGCGGGGCUCUGAGACUCAACCCGGAGACCCUGAGCCACCAAAGGCUAAAGCAGAAGUUACUGGAGACUGAGAUCAGCACCAGAAGGAAGGAGUGUGAAGCACUUGAGGCGGAGGUGAAGAAAAAGAAUCAAACAUGUCAGACUUUGGAGAAUGAGCUUCAAGAUUUCCUCCAGGAGAACAAGCACUUGAACCUCCACUUGUUCAACAGUAGCCACAAGACAUCCGAGUAUGAGAAGGUGAAGUCUGAGUAUGCCCAGCUCAAAGAGACCCUUGGUGCUGUGACGCAGGAGAGAGAUUUAGCCCUGUGGGAGAGGAACCAGCUCCAAGGCAAACUGGAGAACCUAGAGCAGGUGCUCAAGGUGAGGAAGCCAGCUCCAAGGGCAGAUCUGACCGCACUGUCUCUCAGUACUGUGUGCAUUUCUAGUUCUAGUAGUCUGUCUAUCCUGGGAUCCUUACUCAGGUGUUUUUAUGGAGCCUAACCCUUUUGCCAGUACCCCUUCUCCUACCUGUGCUACACUGCCUCCAUCUGGUUAUCUUCCGCUAUACUGUCUAAUGUCCCUGACAUGUCUGUUGCCUUCCAGUGUCGUGUUGGAAGGUCUGACCAGGAGCUCUGAAAGAGUAGAAGCUUGGAGCAGUCUGCCCCCCUUUCCUGUCCUAUUCCACCCUUUCAUGUUGUCCUACCCUCCCUGACGUUUCCCUUUCCCCCUUCCCUAACCCUUUUCCCCCUGCUAGAUUUAUAAGGUAUCACUGCUAUGUCCAUCUGCAAGGGAGCAGUCGUAUUCUGAAUGCUUUCUGUCCACCUUAGUGGCUGUGCUUCUCUCUCCCUUUAUCCGUGGGCUGCUUACCAGAGAUACGUUCACCUGGCUAUAUGACCACAGCACUGUGGAAUGUGAUUUCUUUUUGCAUGAGGCAGGACAAAGAGUUUGGCUUUAUGAUGACGGGAGGGGGAUGAAAAGGAGAUAAGAGACAGACUGGGUCACCCUUCAUGAUGAUAAUGUCACCUACAAGUUUGAUGACAUUACCUAUCUUAGACCUUAAUUUUUACUGGCAUGAAAAUGUCAUUUGCUUCUUUCACCUGACAGUGUCACAAGUAUUCACAUGUAGUGGGAGCAGCGAUGUGACUGGAUGACACGGACACAUUGUGUUAUGAAGAGCCUAGCAUUCAGCCCACCUUUGUAUUGUAUGGCUUCUUUUGUUGUGCUGGAUGACCACAGACAAGUGAGCACGCUGCGGA